rnacentral:rRNA from 1 species
AGAGUUUGAUCAUGGCUCAGAUUGAACGCUGGCGGCAGGCCUAACACAUGCAAGUCGAACGGUAACAGGAANNNNNNNNNNNNNNNNNUGACGAGUGGCGGACGGGUGAGUAAUGUCUGGGAAACUGCCUGAUGGAGGGGGAUAACUACUGGAAACGGUAGCUAAUACCGCAUAACGUCGCAAGACCAAAGAGGGGGACCUUCGGGCCUCUUGCCAUCGGAUGUGCCCAGAUGGGAUUAGCUUGUUGGUGGGGUAACGGCUCACCAAGGCGACGAUCCCUAGCUGGUCUGAGAGGAUGACCAGCCACACUGGAACUGAGACACGGUCCAGACUCCUACGGGAGGCAGCAGUGGGGAAUAUUGCACAAUGGGCGCAAGCCUGAUGCAGCCAUGCCGCGUGUAUGAAGAAGGCCUUCGGGUUGUAAAGUACUUUCAGCGGGGAGGAAGGGAGUAAAGUUAAUACCUUUGCUCAUUGACGUUACCCGCAGAAGAAGCACCGGCUAACUCCGUGCCAGCAGCCGCGGUAAUACGGAGGGUGCAAGCGUUAAUCGGAAUUACUGGGCGUAAAGCGCACGCAGGCGGUUUGUUAAGUCAGAUGUGAAAUCCCCGGGCUCAACCUGGGAACUGCAUCUGAUACUGGCAAGCUUGAGUCUCGUAGAGGGGGGUAGAAUUCCAGGUGUAGCGGUGAAAUGCGUAGAGAUCUGGAGGAAUACCGGUGGCGAAGGCGGCCCCCUGGACGAAGACUGACGCUCAGGUGCGAAAGCGUGGGGAGCAAACAGGAUUAGAUACCCUGGUAGUCCACGCCGUAAACGAUGUCGACUUGGAGGUUGUGCCCUUGAGGCGUGGCUUCCGGAGCUAACGCGUUAAGUCGACCGCCUGGGGAGUACGGCCGCAAGGUUAAAACUCAAAUGAAUUGACGGGGGCCCGCACAAGCGGUGGAGCAUGUGGUUUAAUUCGAUGCAACGCGAAGAACCUUACCUGGUCUUGACAUCCACGGAAGUUUUCAGAGAUGAGAAUGUGCCUUCGGGAACCGUGAGACAGGUGCUGCAUGGCUGUCGUCAGCUCGUGUUGUGAAAUGUUGGGUUAAGUCCCGCAACGAGCGCAACCCUUAUCCUUUGUUGCCAGCGGUCCGGCCGGGAACUCAAAGGAGACUGCCAGUGAUAAACUGGAGGAAGGUGGGGAUGACGUCAAGUCAUCAUGGCCCUUACGACCAGGGCUACACACGUGCUACAAUGGCGCAUACAAAGAGAAGCGACCUCGCGAGAGCAAGCGGACCUCAUAAAGUGCGUCGUAGUCCGGAUUGGAGUCUGCAACUCGACUCCAUGAAGUCGGAAUCGCUAGUAAUCGUGGAUCAGAAUGCCACGGUGAAUACGUUCCCGGGCCUUGUACACACCGCCCGUCACACCAUGGGAGUGGGUUGCAAAAGAAGUAGGUAGCUUAACCUUCGGGAGGGCGCUUACCACUUUGUGAUUCAUGACUGGGGUGAAGUCGUAACAAGGUAACCGUAGGGGAACCUGCGGUUG